ACGUCAUCCAAAGCAGAAGGCAAGAAGGACAGCGGCAAAGGGGGUUUUAUUCCCACGUGAAUCUGGAAGGGAAAUUCUUACGCCUUGAAGUAUUAAGGAUGAAGAGUCAUUACGUUCAAAAGCUGACACGACAAGGUAGAACUGACUUCUGAAGUCAAAAGUUCAAGUAAUGGAACGCCGGGUCUCCUGGCACUGAGCAUGCGUAGAGUCCAUGGUACGCGGAGUCUCAGUGUGUUUCACCACCUCAGGUCCGCUGUGGUCUCAGCGGUGGCGACUUUUGCAGCACCUGCUUCUUUCCCAGCAGUAACCAACCACAGUUGCUGUGAGUCUGUAGGCGUGCCGGCCUUGCCAUGUUCAAACGACAGCAGCAUCUCUUCAGCUCUUUCCUUCUUUCCUUCUGCCCCCUUUCCCUCCUGAGCCUAGGACCGGAGGCUGAUACGGACGGACACGGACGGGGCUGUGGCUGGAGAAGGCACUCAGGCCUGUAUGGAGUCGUGGCCAAGUCUCACCUGCCCACUGUGCUCAGUGUCAGACAGAGCUGGGAGGAGGCUCAGCAGCUUCUCCAGUUUUCUCCAAGGUCGACUCCACCACCACCACCGCAGCAGCCCCAGAUGAAGCUCACAUGUAACUCUUGACCCUUACCUCAACAAAACGGGCUACACUGACAUGGUAUUGUUUUUGGAAAAUAAAGCCAGCACUGUUUUCUCCCUCAUGCA